GACAGAGGAGCCAAGCGUUGUCCGGAUUGACUGGGCGUAAAGCGCACGCAGGCGGACGCGCGCGUGGGGUGUGAAAUCUGGCCGCUUAACGGCCAGGCGCCAUCCCAUACGGCGCGUCUGGAGUGAUGCAGAGGUCGAUGGAAUUGCCGGUGUAGUGGUGAAAUGCGUAGAUAUCGGGAGGAACACCAGUGGCGAAGGCGACUAUCUGGGCUGAAACUGACGCUGAGGCGCGAAGGCUAGGGGAGCAAACAGG
rnacentral:rRNA from 1 species